CAGCCGCCGCGGUAAUACGUAGGUGGCAAGCGUUGUCCGGAAUUAUUGGGCGUAAAGGGCUCGCAGGCGGUUUCUUAAGUCUGAUGCGAAAGCCCCCGGCUCAACCGGGGAGGGUCAUUGGAAACUGGGAAACUUGAGUGCAGAAGAGGAGAGUGGAAUUCCACGUGUAGCGGUGAAAUGCGUAGAGAUGUGGAGGAACACCAGUGGCGAAGGCGACUCUCUGGUCUGUAACUGACGCUGAGGAGCGAAAGCGUGGGGAGCGAACAGGAUUAGAUACCCGAGUAGUCCCUGUCUCUUAUAC
rnacentral:rRNA from 1 species